UCUACCUGAGGACUGAGGUACAUACUACAGUGUAAUCAAUUUGCAUCUGUCAUCAACUACUAGUUAAGCUCUGAACAAGUCAAUGCCUAAAACACCCUCCUGUCCUCAUUACAGGAUGUUCCUCAGGAAAAACAAUAAUUGGAAGUAGCGAUCAAAUGUGAUAAUUCUAGCUAAAUUUGACAGCUACUGCAUUUUAGAAAAAUAUAAGAAAAGUAAAACUAAUAUCAUGGUGAUGGUAGAGAGGUAAUUUAAUUGACUAUUUUGGAAGUAGCAAUCAAAGGUGAUAAAGCUAGCUAAAUUUUAUCUAGGAAGAACAGUUGUUGUGUGACAAAUACCAGUGCUAUAUGGUUCCACUCUAAAUCUCUGUACUUAAUUGGCUGAAGGUUUGCAUUAGUGGUUCAGAACAAUGUUAUAUGGUUUCACUCUAAAUCUCUUUAGUUAAUUGGCUUAAGGUAUACAUAAUUGGUUGGCUGUGAAAAUAUAUAUAGUAAAUCUUCAUAUUACAACAGCUUGAAGAGGUUCACAAAAAAUUGGUACAGGAGUUGCAACAGUCUUGAUCAAGUAUUUUGCAUUUGUCAUCAACUACUACUCCCUUCGUAAAGAAAUAUAAGAGAGAUUAGAUCACUCUCUUGAUUUUGUGCGCGUUAUUCAGUUCUGAAAGUUGAUUCAAGUCUAGAAGCUGAUUCAAGUCUGUAGUGCUUGAAGUAGAUUCAUAGAAGCUACACUUCUGUUAGUAUGUGAACAGAAAGCUUAUCUUAUAUGUGUGAUUGGAGUUGCAGAAUAUGACUAGGGGAAUGAUCAUAGAUGCCAACACCUACAAUAUGAUUUAUCUUGAUAGAGGUGUAGGGGAUUCGUAAGUAGUUUUAGUUUUUUUUCUAGAUAGCUCAAGCAAUUACGCUUCUGCAAUCAUGAAAAACAAAAGAAGGGACCAGUAGUCAGGUUCCAUUAAUCCUUCUGUAGGUGUUCUCUUUGAUGCAUUUCCCCCUUCAUUACCAGUACAAUGAUGCUUUCUCUGUUAAAAUCUUGACACUGUGUUAUCAAUUUCAAUAGCUUAAUUGAUUCUAAGCUCACCAGAAGUAUUUGUUCACAAAUUUGGAUGAUCUAUCUCAUAUGCUUAAACCUGAACCCUCAAUAAUGUGGUAUUCUUGUGCCAGAUUUUUGCCAUUCGGUAAUAGUUAUAAUUGCAUACUUCCGCACUUAUAUAGGCACAGGAAAGAAACAGGAAAUAUUUUCUUACGAGCCUUGUUCUGGACCUGUUCCCACUUAUAUAGAAUAUAUUUUCUACUGGUUUCAUCAAACAAAAAAGUCAUAAACAUUAAAUAUUUAAUGUUUUAUGUCAUUCGUACUUUCUAAAAUCUUAAACUUUACUGAAAUCAUCAUAGAAAUUCCGCAAGUAAGAAUAUUAAAGGCACCCGUGUCAUUCAUCGCUACUAGAUGAUGAAUGCUAUUGCUAUUUUUUUCUCAAAGAUGCCUCUUUUUCAUUAAGAAGAAAGCUCAAUAGACCAAAAUUCCAUAUAUUUUCUUCUUUCUUAAGGAAACUGACUACAGGCAGCAAUCGCAGAUGUUUAGCCUAUUUUCAGUUGACAAUAUACUGAAUAAUUUGGCAGUGAACAAGUACAGAAAAUGUUGUUAAGAAGCGAUAGUUUUGAACCUGAGUUUAUAAAAUAAAAUGAACCAAUUCGUGUCAAAAAUAUCUUAGGCAUCAAGUCCACCAGGUUUGAGAUGUUCACAGAAACAUGUCAGUUUCAGGCAACUACAAUUCAGAAUUGUUUGCCACACUGUAAUGUUUCAGGCAUUCAGAAACAUUUCUCAUGAUGUUAAUAUGUUGACUAGGGGCCUUUUGUAGCUACUUUAAUGAAAAUUUUAGUACCAUAGUGGCCUGCUACAUAUAUUAAAUUGCAAAGUGAAAGUAAAAAAACUUAGGAUUUGGUUGUCUAUCCGAUCCAUCAGUAAGCAAGCAAGGGCCAUGUUGUCAAGGAAUAGAGUUCAAAAACCAUCAAUCUCAGGAACACUUUGACAGGGCCAUGUUGUCAAGGAAUAGAGUUCAAAAACCAUCAAUCUCAGGAACACUCUGACCAUGUAUUUGAUUCUGUUGAAGGCCCAAUAUAUGAUAAGAUGCUAUUUUCAUUUACUAGGCAACCAUGAAAAAGUUUAUGUCCAAUUCAUAAUUUAAAUCAGUCUUGUGUGUUCUUUUAUUCAGUUAUUAUAAUUUUACUCCUGUGUGUUCUUUUGUUUAGUUCUGUGAGGAGGAAGGGAUUACGUCGAUGUGUAAUAUGUUCUUUGUUCUACAACCAUACCUACAUGGGAUUAUAGUUCAGUUAGAAAUCUGAUAUUAUUUUCCUCUAGAAAUGAGCAUUAGCCUUCAAAACAGAAAAGAACUACACAACUGUCCUCCUACUUAAUUAUUAAUCUAUAUGUUCAUUAUUACAGUAAGUUUAGAAACUGCAUUUGUGUAUUUGUACCAAGCUUCCUUGCUCAUCUCAUUUUGUACCUACCAUUUUGUAUGUCGGAAAGCAAUGGUUUCUAUAUAGAGCUAUAGUUCAUCUAUAUGUUUAUGCUGCCUAUAUAUCAUUGAUGUGUUUCCCUCACCUGCUAUUUGAAUGACAUAAUCCUUCAUAUCUUUCCCAAGUUUUAUGCUUAAGCUAACAAGACUCCUCCUUCCUGUAAAUAUAACUUUGAACAAAGGAAAGCAAGACAGGGCCGCCUUUAUAUCUUGGGUCACCCUGUAGAAGGGAGCAAGAGUGGGCACAUCCGAGUUUAGCACAUGAGAGUUUAGAUAUUCAAUCAGUGUUUUGCAAUCCAUCUCAAGCACCAUGGCUUCACCUUCCUCCACACUGUCGGAAACAGGUAACUCACAGUAUGUCGACAAAUACACUUAGCCUCUGUAAUCCCUGGCUACUGCUCCCGCCCAUCCCGGGCACUGAUCUGCUAAAAACUUGUGUCAUUGUUCAACUAGGUCGUGCCAUGUUCUGGUGGAGUCCACUGUAUGGGUGGCAGUGAAACAUGUAUUUGCGUGGUAAACGACGGGGUCAGUUGUUCCUUUUCCUUCUCUGAACUCAUCUUUUCCAUCGCAUUGCCUAUCUCUUGCUCGUAUUUCUGCAGGAAGCUGACAAAAUGCAGGACAUAUUCUUUUCCUUCACGGACUACUACAACACACGGGCAUUUUCACGAAGAGAACAUAGAGAUUUUAAGUUUUUGUAGCCUGCACUAGAGGCUGUAGAGUUCAGUUUUUGUAACAACAACAACAACAAAGCCUUUAGUCCCAAACAAGUUGGGGUAGGCUAGAGCUGAAACCCAUAAGAUCUCGCAACCAACUC
rnacentral:lncRNA from 1 species